rnacentral:rRNA from 1 species
GCGGCGUGCUUAACACAUGCAAGUCGAACGAUGAAGGGAGCUUGCUCCUGGAUUAGUGGCGAACGGGUGAGUAACACGUGAGUAACCUGCCCUUGACUCUGGGAUAAGCCUGGGAAACUGGGUCUAAUACCGGAUAUGACCUUCCAUCGCAUGGUGGUUGGUGGAAAGCUUUUGUGGUUUUGGAUGGACUCGCGGCCUAUCAGCUUGUUGGUGGGGUAAUGGCCUACCAAGGCGACGACGGGUAGCCGGCCUGAGAGGGUGACCGGCCACACUGGGACUGAGACACGGCCCAGACUCCUACGGGAGGCAGCAGUGGGGAAUAUUGCACAAUGGGCGCAAGCCUGAUGCAGCGACGCCGCGUGAGGGAUGACGGCCUUCGGGUUGUAAACCUCUUUCAGUAGGGAAGAAGCCGCAAGGUGACGGUACCUGCAGAAGAAGCGCCGGCUAACUACGUGCCAGCAGCCGCGGUAAUACGUAGGGCGCAAGCGUUAUCCGGAAUUAUUGGGCGUAAAGAGCUCGUAGGCGGUUUGUCGCGUCUGCCGUGAAAGUCCGGGGCUCAACUCCGGAUCUGCGGUGGGUACGGGCAGACUAGAGUGAUGUAGGGGAGACUGGAAUUCCUGGUGUAGCGGUGAAAUGCGCAGAUAUCAGGAGGAACACCGAUGGCGAAGGCAGGUCUCUGGGCAUUAACUGACGCUGAGGAGCGAAAGCAUGGGGAGCGAACAGGAUUAGAUACCCUGGUAGUCCAUGCCGUAAACGUUGGGCACUAGGUGUGGGGGACAUUCCACGUUUUCCGCGCCGUAGCUAACGCAUUAAGUGCCCCGCCUGGGGAGUACGGCCGCAAGGCUAAAACUCAAAGGAAUUGAC